CAGAUGUUCUCUUACUUGUGCAAGAAAGUCUUCAGAACAGUGGUAAGAAAAAAUUGCUGCCUUUUCAGUUCUGUUAAAGUAUUACUGCUUAGUAUUGUUCAAUUCCACCUUGAACAGGUAAACCAUGUGCUAUUCUGGGUUUUUUUUUGAAAGAUGUGAGACAGAAAAAUACUGCAGGAAAUAAUAUAUUGUCAGAAUUUACUUUAGUAUUCACUUUUAUGACUAUUGAAGUCCCAUUAUUUGUGUUGAUAUGAGAAACUCCUAGUGGGAGGUUUUCUUCUACAUUAUGAGUGAAGAUGUCAUCAAACUUACAGUAGACAGUGUUGCUUUUCAUUCCCUAGACUGUUCUAUUAGCCAUGCAUAGAACAGAAAGUAGCCUAAGCUCUUCUGACUCUGACAGAAAUUUGGUAAUGUCCUUUCGGGUUGUGGUCGUUUUUCCUAUAAUGUGCACAUGCCUGCUAGUGCAGGGAGGCCAUGUACAAAUGACUGCAUACAGACACAUGUGUUUUUCAGGUAGUGAGUAUAACUCUCUGCACUAAUAUAGGCAAGUGAAAUUUAAGAUCUUAAAGAAAAAAAUUGCACUUAUUCAAACCAGUUCAAGCAUAUGCAGGUAAAAAACCAAAAAGGUGGGAAAGAAACCGUCUUUUUUAAAUGCAAAUUGCAAAAAGUAGCUUUACUACUUUCUUCCUUGCUUCAUGCCCACAGUUGGGAAAUCACACCAUAUGGUUCCAAUCAUGUAUAUUAAACAUGCAUAUAUUUACUAACCUAGAUUUUUCUCAUUGCCAUCCCCACCCACAUUGUAUGUGCAUCUUCUUGUCUGGUCAGAUAACCAUUAUAGUCUUUGAGAAUGGGAUUAUUAUCAAACCAGACCGGAGAAUGAAGACUCAGAUCCCAUAGAAAGUUAGGAUCCCUAAUGUGUUUGGAAAACAAGCAAUAUUUGGAUUAACAUCUUGUGCAAAGUCUUUUUCUGUGAGUCAGAAAAUAUAGAGACAGAGCAUUAGGCAUUUGAGGUACCCCAGUGGCAAAAGCAAGAUGUUUUUCAAACAAGCCAGGUGUCCAAUUGGCUACGUAACAUCAAGAAAACCUUGUCAUUCCAGAGUUUUUGAGCUGGGUAUCUAAAAUUGUUUCAUAGUUUCCUUUCUACCUGGCUCAGUGGAAUAGUGACACAUCAAUAAACUCCACUUGGAGAAAGGACUACAGUGGCAUCUGAACUUUUUUAGUGUUGAGAUAAAAAUGUAGCUGAAUUGUAUUUGGAA
rnacentral:lncRNA from 1 species